rnacentral:rRNA from 1 species
AUGAACGCUAGCGGCAGGCCUAACACAUGCAAGUCGAGGGGCAGCACGGUGUAGCAAUACACUGGUGGCGACCGGCGCACGGGUGCGUAACGCGUAUGCAACCUACCCAUAACAGGGGGAUAACACUGAGAAAUUGGUACUAAUACCCCAUAACAUCAGGACCGGCAUCGGUUCUGGUUGAAAACUCCGGUGGUUAUGGAUGGGCAUGCGUUGUAUUAGCUGGUUGGUGAGGUAACGGCUCACCAAGGCAACGAUACAUAGGGGGACUGAGAGGUUAACCCCCCACAUUGGUACUGAGACACGGACCAAACUCCUACGGGAGGCAGCAGUGAGGAAUAUUGGUCAAUGGACGCAAGUCUGAACCAGCCAUGCCGCGUGCAGGAAGACGGCUCUAUGAGUUGUAAACUGCUUUUGUACGAGAGUAAACGCUCUUACGUGUAAGAGCCUGAAAGUAUCGUACGAAUAAGGAUCGGCUAACUCCGUGCCAGCAGCCGCGGUAAUACGGAGGAUCCAAGCGUUAUCCGGAUUUAUUGGGUUUAAAGGGUGCGUAGGCGGUUUGAUAAGUUAGAGGUGAAAUACCGGUGCUUAACACCGGAACUGCCUCUAAUACUGUUGAACUAGAGAGUAGUUGCGGUAGGCGGAAUGUAUGGUGUAGCGGUGAAAUGCUUAGAGAUCAUACAGAACACCGAUUGCGAAGGCAGCUUACCAAACUAUAUCUGACGUUGAGGCACGAAAGCGUGGGGAGCAAACAGGAUUAGAUACCCUGGUAGUCCACGCAGUAAACGAUGAUAACUCGCUGUCGGCGAUACACAGUCGGCGGCUAAGCGAAAGCGAUAAGUUAUCCACCUGGGGAGUACGUUCGCAAGAAUGAAACUCAAAGGAAUUGACGGGGGCCCGCACAAGCGGAGGAACAUGUGGUUUAAUUCGAUGAUACGCGAGGAACCUUACCCGGGCUCAAACGCAGGGGGAAUGCCGGUGAAAGUCGGCAGCUAGUAAUAGUCACCUGCGAGGUGCUGCAUGGUUGUCGUCAGCUCGUGUCGUGAGAUGUUGGGUUAAGUCCCGCAACGAGCGCAACCCUUAUUGUUAGUUGCCAUCAUUUAGUUGGGCACUCUAGCAAGACUGCCGGUGACAAACCGGAGGAAGGUGGGGAUGACGUCAAAUCAGCACGGCCCUUACGUCCGGGGCUACACACGUGUUACAAUGGUAGGUACAGAGGGCAGCUACCCAGUGAUGGGAUGCGAAUCUCGAAAGCCUAUCUCAGUUCGGAUCGGAGGCUGAAACCCGCCUCCGUGAAGUUGGAUUCGCUAGUAAUCGCGCAUCAGCCAUGGCGCGGUGAAUACGUUCCCGGGCCUUGUACACACCGCCCGUCAAGCCAUGGAAGCUGGGGGUGCCUGAAGUUCGUGACCGCAAGGAGCGACCUAGGGCAAAACCGGUGACUGGGGCU